ACGGGAAAUGGUAAAAGGAGAAAGCAUUGCCUGGGAAUAAAACUUCAGCUGGCAGGAACUGAAGACAGCAUGCCCACCCUGUUGGUCUUCAAGCCUGUACCCACUGGCUGGACCUGCUUAGAUUCCUUAGGAGUCUUCCAAAGUCAGAUCACACUUCAGAAAUACAGAUGGGAAUUCUGAAGAUGGACUAAAAUGCCUACCUGUACCCUGGGUCUAAAGGUAGCUGAGGGGCAGUUUAUGGACAAGGUGUGGAGGAAGCCCAGGAUAUGCACAGCUGUGGGCACAAGGCUCUUCACAGUGUGGGCUGGAGCUGCAGCUCAGAAGGAGCACAGCAGUGUGGAUCUGGAGUCACACUCAGGACAGCGGGC
rnacentral:lncRNA from 1 species